UACGGGGGGGGCAAGCGUUGUUCGGAAUUACUGGGCGUAAAGGGCUCGUAGGCGGCCAACUAAGUCAGACGUGAAAUCCCUCGGCUUAACCGGGGAACUGCGUCUGAUACUGGAUGGCUUGAGUUUGGGAGAGGGAUGGCGGAAUUCCAGGUGUAGCGGUGAAAUGCGUAGAUAUCUGGAGGAACACCGGUGGCGAAGGCGGCAUCCUGGGACCAACACUGACGCUGAGUGAGCGAAAGCCAGGGGAGCAAACGGG
rnacentral:rRNA from 1 species